UGAGCAAUCUGCCCUUCUCAUCGGAAUAAGCGUUGGAAACGACGUCUAAUGCCGAAUACGACCUCCUUUCGCAUGAUCGGAGGUGGAAAGCUCCGGCGGAGAAGGAUGAGCUCGCGGCCUAUCAGCUAGUUGGUGUGGGUAACGGCCCACCAAGGCGACGACGGGUAGCCGGCCUGAGAGGGUGACCGGCCACACUGGGACUGAGACACGGCCCAGACUCCUACGAGAGCA
rnacentral:rRNA from 1 species